rnacentral:rRNA from 1 species
AGUGAACGCUGGCGGCGUGCCUAACACAUGCAAGUCGAACGGGCUAGUGCUUCGCACUAGUCUCUUUCUGGGGUUGCUACUCUAAGGCUACCUGCUAAAGUUAUUGCUUUAAAGCAGGGGUUUUAGGGGACCUUCCCCAAAAGGGGCCAGUGCGGAGCACUGGCCAGUGGCGAACGGGUGAGUAACACGUGGGUAAUCUGCCCUCGAGUGGGGAAUAAGCUCCCGAAAGGGGGUCUAAUACCGCAUGACGUUUCAUAACGAUGGUUAUGAAACCAAAGCCCAAAAGGCGCUUGAGGAGGAGCCUGCGUCCUAUCAGCUUGUUGGCAGGGUAAUGGCCUACCAAGGCUAUGACGGGUAGCCGGCCUGAGAGGGUGUCCGGCCACACUGGAACUGAGACACGGUCCAGACUCCUACGGGAGGCAGCAGUGGGGAAUUUUGCGCAAUGGGGGAAACCCUGACGCAGCGACGCCGCGUGGAGGAUGACGGCCUCGGUUGUAACGUCUCGUCAGAAGGGACGAACGUACCGACG